rnacentral:rRNA from 1 species
UGCGCAGGCGGACUAAUAAGUCAGAGGUGAAAGCCCACAGCUUAACUGUGGAACUGCCUUUGAUACUGUUAGUCUUGAGUGCAGUUGAGGUAGGCGGAAUGUGUUAUGUAGCGGUGAAAUGCUUAGAUAUGACACAGAACACCAAUCGUGAAGACAGCUUACCAAGCUGCUACUGACGCUCAGGCACGAAAGCGUGGGGAGCGAACAGGAUUAGAUACCCUGGUAGUC